AGUCGUAUUAAUUUGGAGACACAUUAAUUUCCAGAUUUACAGUAUAUUGUUUGUGGUGUUCAUCACUGAAAAUGAAAUUCGGCAUUGAUUCUGGGUGGGUGUGUCUUUAUUCUUCCAAAUACCUGCAAAUAGUGCGUGAAUUUGUAUGCAUAUUUAUGACAUGUUUAUUAUUGGUUUUUUUUGUAAAAUUUCUCUUACGACUACCCUCCUGAUUUCUGAUUUCUGUAAAUCUCUGUGAGACCAUUUGAUCUAGUACAUACCUUCUGAUAGAAUAGACAAGAUGGGUGAUCAGUUGACAAACGCUGAUAGGGGCACCUUGACCGUACAUCCCCACUGCGUCUAUGCUAUGCUAGAAUAUACAGAUUCCUGCAGGAUAUGAGUAUCAAUUGAGAUAACGCUGAUAGGGGCACCUUGACCGUACAUCCCCACAGCGUCUAUGCUCAUUGCUGUGCUAGAAUAUACAGAUUCCUACAAGAUGGGUGUAUCAAUUGAGAUAAAGCUGAUAGGGGCACCUUGACCGUACAUCCCCACAGCGUCUAUGCUAUGCUGGAAUGUACAGAUUCCUGCAGGAUAUGAGUAUCAAUUGAGAUAACGCUGAUAGGGGCACCUUGACGGUACAUCCCCACCGCGUCUAUGCUGUGCUGGAAUAUACAGAUUCCUGCAGGAUAUGAGUAUCAAUUGAGAUAACGCUGAUAGGGGCACCUUGACCGUACAUCCCCACAGCGUCUAUGCUGUGCUAGAAUAUACAGAUUCCUGCAGGAUGGGUGUACCAAUUGAGUAAUGCUGCUCAACAUUUGCUAAGGACCACACCAUUGACUGAAGAUGAAUGUUGUUCAAAUGUUGAGUCGUAUAUUAUUGCAUUCAAAAUAGGAGCAUCUUUAACUUGAUAAGUCUCCUGUAAGAGUCGGGGGCACAGAUGGCCCAGUUGUCUUAGGUGCCGCGAUUUGCUGUGCAGUGUAUGAUUGUGGGUUCGAAUCCCGGUUCACCCUGAUUAUGUUUCUAGGUUUAGUGAGCACCAUACCCGGGCUGGUGGGUUUCACCAAAGUGGUAAACAUCUGAGACCUGCAUCACUUCGGGCUUUCCUCCCACUUUAAGCUGACAAGAAGUAAUAUAAUUGGAAUACUGUUAAAAGCUGAGUUAUGCCAUACUCACUCACUCACUCACACAGCCUAGGCACUAGAAGGUUGCAAACACGGUUUGUCUCAACUUGGACUGGCUGUUCUGUUGAAAAAAACAUGCAAACGGCGUAGUCCUGUUGUGGCUGAGUUCUUUUGGAAUGUCAGAGUUCUUCUGUCGUGAUUAAUAAGGUGUGUUGACCAGAAUAGGUAGGAUAAUGUACACAGCUGUCUAGAACUGCAAUUUCACACAGGAAUUAUUUGUAUUUUGCAUUUGUUAAUUGACACUUAUUAACUACUGGGUCAUGCGCUAUAAGAUGAUACGAGUGCUGCGACUAUCGUAAGUCGACGAUAGAAUUUCAACAGUGGAAGGAGGCCCUGAAUUCUGUGUUGCGGAAGGAAACUAGCUUUGGGAUCAAGACUGACGUUCCAGAUGACAUAAAUAUUGUCAGAUAAGGUUUUUAUUUGCUGUUGUUCACCUUUGAAAAAUGACAAAUUCCUACCAUUCGACUGGACAUUUUGUUCUUAAACUGAACUAUGAGAUGUCCUCAGUCUCUGUUACAAGCAGCAACACAGGUUCAAGGUUAUCUUAACGAGGUAGGUAAUCAGUACAAGGCCCUCAUUUGCAAACUUAAAAACUUUGCAUGAAACUAUAUUUUCCUUGGAAUAUACUAUAUAUUACAUGUGUAUAUUAAUGGGAAAUACUAAACAUCUAAGUGUGAAAUAAGUAGUUGAGUCUAUCAUUAUAGGCCAAUGCGAUAUCUUCUUCCUUGUACAUGUUAACCAAAGUAUUAUUUGCACUCACAUCGGCAGUGUCCUCCACACUCUACAGGCCCUGGUUUAAGGGCCAGGGGUGGCCCUGGUUUGAGGGCAAGGGGUGGCCCUGGUUUGAGGGCCAAGGGUAGCCCAGUCACCUAAGGUGCUGCAGUGUGCUGCAAUUCCUCCCUCAGGCAUGCCGUGAACCUGUGAUCAUGGGUUCGAAUCCUAGAUCCACCUUGAUUGUCACGGUGUUUUCUGUACCAUACCCGUGUUGUGGGUUUCACCAGAGUGGUAAACGUCGAAGAACUGCAUCACUCUGUCUUUCCUCCUAACACAAACUGAAACACCAUGUAUAUUACUCAAAAAGAAGUUAAAGACAGCCCAAUGUUUUCUUAUGACUAUAGUUAGUCUGUCAUGGCUGGUGGGUGCACACAACCUUCCAUUUGUGGGUGUUCUUUGACUUGUUUUGAGUAGUAUAUGUGAAAUACUGUUCACAGUUGUGUGAAGCACAACCGAUUUACUAGCACCUUGCAUCUGUACUGGCAGUGGGCUAGUGUUAAUUGCCAUAUUAAACUGUAUAUUCAUGUCUUGGACCCUGAACUUUGUCGGAUCUGGUGCUGAAGGCUGCUGUCAGGCCCAAACUUAAAACUCUAUGGUUAUAACUGUCAUACAAAGUUACAAUCUUUUUCCUAUUGUUUUGCUAUUGUGCAGUGUUUUUCCCAUUGCUGAUACCAUGGAUACUCUGAUUUCUGUCAUGACUUCAUGGAGGCAGUACAUGCUCCUUUUUAUGCUCCAUUCGUCAAAGCUUUGGAAAAUUUGGCUUUGACAUUGCAUGGAAACCAUGACCUAGUGCUUAUGACCUUAACCUUGUGCUUAUGACACUGGACUUUGUGCUGAUGACCUUGAUCGAGUGUUUACGACCUUGACCUUUUUCGCUGCCCCAGCAAUUACUGAAUAAGGUGGAAUCUGGCUGAAUCAAUUCAGGUUUGAGCCUGGGACCAUUGAAACCAGUAAGUUAGUCAGGACAAUUGGGAGUGUGUAUGUUUUAUACGGUUGACUUAGAACAUAUGUUACACACAAGGCAUGCCCUCUUAGCUAAAGUAUAUUUUGUAAUUUUUUUAUCGCAACUUUAACUUUUAUUGUGACGGCUUGAUGUUUGUAUCCCCCUGCCAUACCUAAUGUAUGGUGAUCUGUUAAGGUCAUAUUUUCAUAGGAUUUGUUUUUUUUCCAUUGGUAUUCAUGACCAUUGAGUCUGUUAUUGUUGUUUAUAUGCUGGCUCACAAGCUGAUCCAAUUCUUAUUGUAUGACUGUUUUGACAGUGCUAUGUAUAUUGUUGUUUUUUUCUAAGAUAUGUCCACUGUUAUAUAUACAUACUUUCUACCGGGCGGUAUGGCUCAUAUCCCCCUCCAUGCAGUACCCUCUCCUGUACAUAUACAACUGUUUAUACCCUGUGUACAAUGUUUGUUACUUGCUGUCCUCACUUCCCUGUACAUAAGCUAUCAUCAUUCAUGGAGGCUGCUGACUCCUUGUCAUUGUCUUGGAUACAUUUCAAAUUGUUCAUGUAUGUCAAAAAUAGUUUGGCUGGAAGAUGAAUGUCCCAAGAUUGAGUUAUUUUUUAACAGGGCCUCGAUUUCAUAAUCAACUCACACCAAUUUGUAAAAUAUUGCAUUACUACAUUUGAAGGGCACUUGGCCUUGGUUUGGCUGGCAGUUCCAGGAACACUGUCCCUCCUGAACUAUAAGGGUAAAUGUAAAGUGGCUUGGUAAAGUCACAGUGACGGUGUAGGACAGGCUGAGUGAGGGGUGGGGAAUGUAUUUCCAGCCAAACUAUAUUUUUCACCAACACUAAUCUCUGGCCACAAGAAAUUAAUUAUUACAUUAUGAUCCAAAUUUAUCAAUGUAGUGAAGGAGGAGGGGGUUUUAUUUUUAAAAACAUCAUCUUUCAAGGUCACGAUUGAAAGUGAGCGUAUGUCGUUGUCUGCUGGUCUGCUUGUCUUCUGUAAAAUUCUCCUCCUCAGAAUCCACAAGACCAAUGAAGCUGACACUUCACAUGUUUAUUCCCAACAAUGAUGGCACUGAAUCUGUUGAAGAGGUUGGAAUCAGUUUUUCAAUAUGGCCACCAUGGCAGCCAUUUUGAAAAAGAUAUUUAUGACCAUUACUCAGUCAUUGUUCAAUAUGUGAUUAAAGUUAUUAUCUAGUUAGCUAUCUGUGAGUCAUGCUGUUAAAUCUCUCCAUGUGCUGUAAAACUUCUAUGAAAGGGGCGGUCGGGUAGCCUACUGUAAUGCCGAAGACCCGGGUUCGAUUCCCGACAUGGGUACAAUGUGUGAAGCCCAUUUCUGGUGUCCCCCGCCGUGAUAUUGCUGGAAUAUUGCUUAAAGCGGCGUAAAACCUCACUCACUCACUCACUCCUAUGAAAUUGUAAGACUUUGUCAUGUAUGUUUCCCCUUUAGAUGACAUUUUGGUCAAUUCAUUAGACUUUAGUUCUAGUGUUUAGUAUUUAUACAGAGAAUAGAUGAAAAUCAAUGCAGACAGCAGAAUUAGGUUCAGACUGCCUUUGUUUUUUAAAACUGUUGCGUACAUAUCCAGGUGAGCUACAGUUCCCUGACACUAUUGUUUUUGUAACAGUUCUGUUAUAAUGAAAUAUGAAGGUGAGAGGACAGGGUGAUAAUGUAGCAAUCAAUUUUUGUUGGCCUUUGGUGUUUAUAUGAGUUCUUGAAGCUGUACUUAAUACAAUGCCGCUUGGUUGCCCUGCUUGCAGUGUUCUCAUGACCUGUCUCAUGCCCUGUACAUCCAGCAUCACCCACCCCCUCCAAUCACAGGACCUGAUUCUUCAAGCUCCCUCCCAGCGCUUGACACCUUCGUUACGCUCUCGGUAACAUCGCUGUCACCAGUAGGGGCACGCCCAUUACAAGAAUCUUGAAAUUUGCCCUCUAAUCCCAUAUCAUAGUGAAUUUUGAAAAGGUUUAUGACUGACCAUAAUUUGCAGAUGAAUUUACCAUUUUGUUUGUUUGAUCAGAUUGGUUCACAAUUGCAGACAAAUGGAAAAUCAACCAACUUCCCCCUUACAGUCUAACAAUAUCAAUUACAUGAUAGUUGUCAUGAAACGCAAAUUCAGAUUGAUAAACAAAGAAAAUAAUAUAGCAAGCGUAAGAGUAUCCACGUCACGGCAUUAUCACUUGGUUGUAAACAUAACGGUCAUUCGGCUGUGAAUUCAACUCCAUGCAUGGUUGUGGCCACGCAUCACAGUGGGGAGGUUUGACUGGUGGCAGUGAUAGUAUAGAGAGCUCCGGGGUAUCACUGUGAGGAGCUUGCGGAUUCUGGUCAUAUUCCACAUCCUGUCACCAUGGAUACUACAAUCAAAUAUUGUCACAAUAUGUGAAAUGGCCUUCAGGUAUUCCAAAGAAAUGAAAUUGGGCACCAAGUGCUAAAUAUGUUCCGUUUUAGGUCCAUAUGUGGCAGUUUGUGGAAUUGGUUUUUCAUAUUCACUAACCACUGUUAUGCAAACCUUUGCCACUAUAAGUGGUGUAUAAAUGUGUAUAUUGCCAGUGUGGUGUAUGUCUAGUUAUCUCCAGUGUUCACUGAGGGUACUGUGUGAAGGGCUGAUGUCCCUGCCACCUAUCCUGCUUGACUGCUGUAUAUGAAGUUGUGGGUGGCCUCUCGACGCUCACGGCUCCCAUGCAUGUAUAAAGAAAAUGCAUAAAUGUUUCAAACCAUCAA